rnacentral:rRNA from 1 species
GUGCCAGCAGCCGCGGUAAUACGAAGGGGGCAAGCGUUGCUCGGAAUGACUGGGCGUAAAGGGCGUGCAGGCGGUUUAUAGCUGUUGGGUGUGAAAUUUUGGGGCUUAACCCUGAAACUGCAUUCAAGACGUAUAGACUAGAGUAUGUGAGAGGAUAGUGGAAUUCCCAGUGUAGAGGUGAAAUUCGUAGAUAUUGGGAAGAACACCGGUUGCGAAGGCGGCCAUCUGGGACAACACUGACGCUGAAGCACGAAAGCGUGGGGAGCAAACAGGAUUAGAAACCCGAGUAGUCC